rnacentral:miRNA from 1 species
UCAGUAACACGAAUACGUCCUG